rnacentral:rRNA from 1 species
ACGACUCUCGGCAACGGAUAUCUCGGCUCUCGCAUCGAUGAAGAACGUA